UACAGAGGCCAUCGAGCCGUUAGGGCGGAAUCACUGGGCUUAAAGCUGUGUGUAACGGCGGACUUCCUAAGUACCUUGUGAAAUCCCACGGCUCAGCCCGUGGGAAACUUGCUCGGGUAUAACUGGUUGUCUUGAGCCACUUAGGGGCUAACCGGAACAAAUGGUGGAGCGGUGAAAUGCGUAGAGUAUCAUUUGGAACGCCAAUGGUGAAAACAGGAUAGCUGGGGAGUGAUGGCUGACGCUGAGACACGAAAGCCAGGGGAGCGAACGGG
rnacentral:rRNA from 1 species